CCCCCAAAAUUCCUUUGGGAUUGGGAUGGGAAAAAUCCCAGAAAAAAAUAAAAACCCCAAACCCCAGGACAAGCGGAGCCACCACAGCCCCAAUGGAACCUCCCCAAUUCUCUAUUUACAAAAUCCACCCGGAAUUUUCUUGGCAUAUUCCCAAAAAUCCUCAGCCGGCGCUGCCAAAGGGUCGGGGCCCACCCAGAGCCCCCCAGUUUGGGAUUUGACCCUUCCCAAUGGGAUUCCCUGCCCAGAUCCCAAAUUCUCUAUCAAAAUCCCAAAUUCUCUGCUCAAAUCCCAAUUUCUUUAUGCAAAUCCCAAAUUCCCUGCUCAGAUCCCAAAUUCCCUAUCAAAAUCCCAAAUUCCCAGUCCAGAUCCUAAUUCUCUGCUCAGAUUCCAAAUUCUCUAUGCAGAUCCCAAUUUCCCUGCCCAAAUCUCAAUUUCUCAAUCCAGAUCCCAAUUUUUCUAUCCAAAUCCCAAUUUUUCUGCUCAAAUCCCAAUUUCCCUAUGUAGAUCCCAAUUUUUCUAUCAAAAUCCCAAUUUCCCUGCUCAGAUCCCAAAUUCCCAGUCCAGAUCCCAAUUUCCCUAUGCAAAUCCCAAAUUCCCUGCCCAGAUCCCAAUUUCUCAAUCCAGAUCCCAAUUUUUCUAUCCAAAUCCCAAUUUCCUUGCCUAGAUUCCAAUUUCUUUAUGCAAAUCCCAAUUUCCCUGCCCAGAUCCCAAAUUCCAAGUCCAGAUCCCAAAUUCCCUGCCCAGAUCCCAAUUUCUCUGCCCAAAUCUCAAUUUCUCAAUCCAAAUCCCAAUUUUUCUAUCCAAAUCCCAAUUUCCCUGCCCAGAUCCCAAUUUUUCUAUCCAAAUCCCAAUUUCUCUAUGCAGAUCCCAAUUUCUCUAUCAAAAUCCCAAUUUCCCUGCUCAGAUCCCAAAUUCCCAGUCCAGAUCCCAAUUUCCCUAUGCAAAUCCCAAUUUUUCUAUCCAAAUCCCAAUUGCCCAAUGCAAAUCCCAAUUUCUCUAUCAAAAUCCCAAUUUCCCUAUGGAGAUCCCAAUUUCCCAGCCAAAUCCCAAUUUCCCAUCUCAUUUCUCCCAAUCUCUCCGGGUGGGAUUUUUCCAAACCCACAGCGAUCCCAACACCUCU
rnacentral:lncRNA from 1 species